UAAAGGUUUGGUCCCAGCCUUACUAUUAGCUUCUAAUAAACUUACACAUGCAAGCCUCUACAUACCGGUGAAAAUGCCCUAGAGUCACAGCAAUUGAUCAAAGGAGCCGGCAUCAAGCACGCUAAUUAAGCAGCUCAUAACGCCUUGCUCAACCACACCCCCACGGGAUACAGCAGUGAUAAGAAUUAAGCCAUGAACGAAAGUUCGACUAAGUUAUAUUAAUAUCAGGGUUGGUAAAUUUCGUGCCAGCCACCGCGGUCAUACGAUUAACCCUAGUUAAUAGACCCACGGCGUAAAACGUGUCAAAGAGCUCAAUAUUACUAAAGUUGUAAUUUAAUCAGGCCGUAAAAAGCCCCCAUUAAUAUAAAAUAUACUACGAAAGUGACUUUAUUAACUCUGAUUACACGAUAGCUAAGACCCAAACUGGGAUUAGAUACCCCACUAUGCUUAGCCCUAAACAUAAAUGAUUCAAAUAAUAAAAUCAUUCGCCAGAGAACUACUAGCAAUAGCUUAAAACUCAAAGGACUUGGCGGUGCUUUAUACCCCUCUAGAGGAGCCUGUUCUAUAAUCGAUAAACCCCGAUAAACCUCACCGUUCCUAGCUAAUCCAGUCUAUAUACCGCCAUCUUCAGCAAACCCUUAAAAGGACAAACAGUAAGCAUGAUCAUAUGACAUAAAAAAGUUAGGUCAAGGUGUAGCCAAUGGAACGGAAAGAAAUGGGCUACAUUUUCUUAAAAAGAAAAUCCAACGGAAGCUCUUAUGAAAACAAGAACCAAAGGAGGAUCUAGUAGUAAAUUAAGAAUAGAGAGCUUAAUUGAACAGGGCCAUGAAGCACGCACACACCGCCCGUCACCCUCCUCAAGUAAAUAUACCACACUAUAACAUAUCCAAAUUAUAUCUGAUACAAGAGGAGACAAGUCGUAACAAGGUAAGCCUACUGGAAAGUGUGCUUGGAUAA
rnacentral:ncRNA from 1 species